rnacentral:rRNA from 1 species
GGUUUUUUGAAUUAUAAUUUAAGAUUAGUUCUGCUCAAUGAUUUGAAAUUAAAUAGCCGCAGUAUUUUGACUGUGCUAAGGUAGCAUAAUCAAUUGUUUUUUAAUUAAGAACUGGAAUGAAGGAAUUGAUGAGAUUAAGACUGUCUAAUAUAAAAUGUUAAAAUUUAAAUUUUAAGUAAUAAUUCUUAAAUAAAAUUAUGGGACGAGAAGACCCUAUAGAAUUUGAUAUAAUUUUUUAAAAUAAAUAUAAAAUAAGAUUUAAUAAAAUUAAUAUUUUAUUGGGAGGAUAAUUAAAUUAAAUUAACUUUAAAAUUAAAAUUGAACAUUAAUUUAUGAUAAUAAUUGAAUAAUUUUAUAAUAAUAAUUAAAAUUAAUUAAAAAUUAAUUACCUUAGGGAUAACAGCGUAAUAUUUUUAAAAAGAUCAUAUUGAUAAAAGUGUUUGCGACCUCGAUGUUGAAUUAAAAUAAAAAUUAAAUGAAGAAGUUUAAUAUUUUAGUCUGUUCGACUAUUAAAAUUUUA